UUUUAAAAUUAUUUAAUUUAAUAUUUAAUUUUUAAAUGCCAAAGACGCAUUAAAAUAAGUACUAUCUGUUGAAAACAACAUUUGAAUUCUAGAGUUUAGUCCUUUCCAUUUGGUGAAUUUGAUGCAUUGAAAAGAAAUAAAAGAGAAUUUUUUUUCUACAGUUUGGCAAUUUUGAACUAUAAUUUUUUUAUUCUGGUGAAAACAUUUUGCAGAAAAUUAUGGAAACAUACAUAGGGACCCUGCAGUAAUAUUAUAGAUUUCUUAAAAAAAAAAAAACCGUUGCAAUAUAGACAUGAAAAUUGAAUUCAAGAUUAGGAAGUAAACUGAGAAAAAAAUAUUUAAAAAUAAUGCAGUUUAAAUGUGUCAUUGACUCGACAUUUCCCGCAUAUUCUAAAUCAAUAUUAACAUCAAUAAUACAUUUCAGAGUGCAUCUGUUUUUGCCAUUGCUAAUUUUUCUCUAUUAUGCCAGAGUAUGAGUAAGAUUUUUGCUGUUUUUUAAAAAGGCUACAUUAAGAUUCAGCCUCAAAAGAGGUUCAAUUCCUAGUAACUGCAGGUGCAUGGCACUUACUGCUAAUUGGACAUGACUGCUUUUAGCAAAUCUGGUAGCUGCUAAAAGCCACUGUUGCUGUGGUGCUGCCUCACCAGCACGCAGGGCAUGGUACCUGUUCACUACCAAAGCUCCAUGUCCACAAAAUUUGCCAACUAAAAUACCCAGCCAACUCCUUCACUUAAAUGCAUAGAGACAGAAAUCUCAAAGAGCUAUCAACAAGGUCUCUGCAAGAAAAUGCAGCCCUCUUAAUGCAUAUUAAAUAGUCCCAUUAAAAUAGUUCAGUAAUGCAUCUUUCUGUUAGAAUCUGUUGUUCUGAGCCCUAUAACCAUGUAGGGUAGUUUUCAAAAUAAAAUGCUGCUAUUAGCACAUUAAAUAAUUAUCUUCUCUCCUGUGUGCCAUACCCACUGGCUGGUACACUGUAGUUCUGGAAAAUAUUGUGAACCAAGUUAUAUCUGUGUCUCAUAUCAUCUUUUGUGUUUAUGUAGGAUGUUUGUUCUGAGAAAACUAAAAAUACUUUGUUUAAAUUGGAUCACACUUUACCAGUUAAGUGAACCUUACCAGGUAAGUCUCCUGGUUUGGAUAUUAACUCUUUCCAUUUGGGCUUCUUUUUCCCCUAAAUUUCUACCUUUAGUAGAAGUGUUCACUUUUAUCAACAGUGAUUUCAUAAAACAUUCAAUGUCUGACAGAACAGCCAUCAGAGCACCAUUGCUCUCAUUCAUUUUCCAAGACCCUGUAUCUUAUUCUUAGCAUUACAUGCAUUCUAUGAUGAUAAGCUGGGUUAUCAGAAAGGAGUCACGGGGAACAUGUGAGAAGAGGAAAAUCCAGAAUUAGUAACAUUAAAAUAAUCUAACUUUUACUCUCAAAGAGAUAAUGAAGGAAUUGCCUGGCUGUAUAAUUAUGGACCAAAUAUAUGUAAAUAUUAUACAAGUUCUCCUCAAAUAAUCAUUGGGCUUCUGGAACAAAAGCUUACAGAAACAAGAUGAACAAUUUGAACUCUGACUUUUGUUUUCUAUUUGUGAGAACAUGAUUUUUUUUUUCAACUUUCUAAUCACAGUUAUAAAAUUAAGCCUGAUUUUCAGAACGAAGUUUACCUGAUUGUCAAUGACUUCUCAAGUCCCCUAUUUUCAAAAAUGGCACAUUUGAUGGCAAAAUACAAAAUCUGUCUGAAAAGGUCUUGUUUUACUGUUAGCAUUCGAGAAGAAACUUCUACUUCAAGAAAAUCAAAGGAUUGUCUCUCACCCUAAAGGAAAACCAUUUUGGAAAGCUUGGCAAAGAUAUACCUGGUCAUUUACAGUUUUUUUAUUAGAAACUUGGGAAAUGUUCUUCACUAAAAGAAGCCUUUUAAAAUCCCUAGAGAAGUAGGUCCCUUGCUCACCGGCAUUAUGGGAACAUUGACCCAAAUAUGGGAAGGAGGAAACGAAUACCACCUCUCCCCCUUGCCCACCAUCCCACUAAACAUACUCUACAAAUUACCAGUCACCAACUCUCCAUCAGUGUCCAAACUGCCAUUAAAUGCCCUUGCUGAGAAUGAUUGAUUACACAGCAUCGAUUAUCAGAGACAGUAACAAAGAUAACUUUUACUUUCUGGAAAACUUUUGCCAUAGGAAAAAGUAUACUCACAAGUGUACAAAAAGAAAAAAUCAAUCCUGUAAAUGUGAAUAUACAUAACCAGAGCUGAAUUUUUUUCAUGAAGAGUUUGAAUAUAUAAAACCUUGAAUCUACAUGAAAAAAUAAACCAUGAAGAAAUAUCCUAAAAAGCAAGUAUUAGUUUACAUGACGCAAUAUGAAAUGUAUCUAAGUGUCUUUCUCUGAUAACGCGCAUCUAUGCUCAUGUCUCCCUUCCUUGUUCCUAUUAUAUUUAAAACCUGACAUGUCACACAAUUAGCAUCUUAUGUAAAUCAUAUUUCAUAGCAUUUAUUAGCUGAGUGUUGAAAUCAUAUUUGUUAUGUAACCAUAAGAUGUUCUAUAGGAUAAUCCUGUUCACUAAUCACUAGAGGUCUCUACAACUUGUUUCUCAAUGAGAUUGUAAGAUCUGUGUUGACAGAGAUCUAUCUAGCAGUUCUUUUUCUCCCAUGGAGCUAAAUUUAUCACAGCGGCACAGCAAGCUGCCUCUCUGCCUGCCUCCCAGACUGGGGACUCUAUGAUCCCCUUCCUCCAGAGUAAUAUGGAGACACAGGGUGACCCAGCUAGAAUUCAUUUUCCAAGUCCUCCCUGCAACUAAAAGUGGAUUGCCAAUGUAUUUUGAGAAGUAAUGUGUACAGUUUCCAUGUUUAUUGCUUAAGAGGAAAUGCCUAUGGAGAAAGGUUGGUCAGCAGGUACAAAGUUGCGUUAGAUGGGAGGAAUAAGUUCUGGUGUCCCAUUGCACAGCAGGGUGACUGUGGCUAGCAAUAAUGUAUUGUAUAUUUCAAACUAACUAGAAAAGAGGAUUUUGAAUGCUUUACCACUGAGAAAUGAUAAAUGUUUGAGAUGAUGGAUUUGCCCAUUACCCUGAUUUCAUCAUUACACAAUGCAUACACGUCAAAACCUCUCAUUUUAUCUCAUGAAUAUGUACAGUUAUUAUAUUUGAUUAAAGUAAAAAUAAUUUUUAAAAA